rnacentral:rRNA from 1 species
CCUACGGGAGGCAGCAGUGAGGAAUAUUGGUCAAUGGCCGUAAGGCUGAACCAGCCAAGUCGCGUGAAGGAAGAAGGCCCUAUGGGUGGUAAACUUCUUUUGUAGGGGAGUAAAGGUAGACACGUGUGGAUAUUUGCAAGUACCCUAUGAAAAAGCAUCGGCUAACUCCGUGCCAGCAGCCGCGGUAAGACGGAGGAUGCGAGCGGUAUCCGGAUUUGUUUGGGUUAAAGGGUGCGUAGGUUGUGUUUUAAGUCCGCGGUGAAAGUUUGUGGCUCAACCAUAGUAUUGCCGUUGAAACGGGAAGACUUGAGUGUGUUUGAGGUAUGCGGAAUGCGUGGUGUAGCGGUGAAAUGCAUAGAUAUCACGCAGAACUCCGAUUGCGAAGGCAGCUUACU